GCUGGACCGCUGCAAGAGACGAGGUUGCUAUGCGGUUACUAGGCGCAGAUUGUGGGAAAUCUUUUUGAUACAUAGCUUGUUGUGGAUGCAGAGUUUACAUUUUUUAAAGACUUGCUCCCACUAUCAAUAAUGCUAUGCCUUUGUAUAGGUUUUUAUGUGUGAAUAUGGUUGAAGAAGUUUACCAAGGUGGUUGCUCGGACUAAACAAAAUAAAACCAAACACAGAAUAAUUCGCUUAGGUAAAUCAUAUAUAGUGAACUAACCUAAGAUAUCGAAUUAACGUUAGGCCUGAAGUUCGAAAAGUUUGUAAUCUUCAGGUACGUUAACGUGGGAGUUUUGAUCUCCGGUGAAUAUGACCCAAUCUGUAAAGGUAAUGUUAGACUGGAAUAAAAUUGGAAAUGUUGAUCCAGAGGAACUGGAAAACGACGAUGAGGAACUUGUCGACACAUUGCUUCAGGUUGAGCAGAGGGACAUACAAGAAAAAGAAGCCACAUCUUUAGUCCAGCUUUUCAGAAUAGCUCAGUCUCUCCUGAAGAUCAAAUGUCAAGAGCUUUCAUUUGCGUAUGAGAUGAUCGAGAAGGCUGGAGUUGAUCAGGCAAGACUGGGUAGGUAUCUUUUUUUUUCUUUAGCCAAAUGAAAAAUAAGUAUGAAACAUUUGAAGUAUGUUAAUAAUAAGUAUGAAACAUUUGUAUGUUAAUAAUUUUAUAAUAAGCAUUUUGUUUGUGUCUACUCAGAGAAUGCAUUUCAGACCAAAGUAUCCAAACUGGAGAGUGAACUGAAGGUAAGAUUCAUAUUGCAGUAGCAAGUUUUGUAGAAUAAUGUCCAAAUAAAAUCCUGAUUAUAUAAUCUGGCUUGUGCUUU
rnacentral:lncRNA from 1 species